rnacentral:rRNA from 1 species
GGGGAAUAUUGCACAAUGGGGGCAACCCUGAUCCAGCAAUGCCGCGUGUGUGAAGAAGGCCUGCGGGUUGUAAAGCACUUUCAGAGGGGAAGAAAAAAUCGGAGCUAACACCUCCGAGCUUGACGUUACCCUUAGAAGAAGCCCCGGCUAACUCCGUGCCAGCAGCCGCGGUAAUACGAAGGGUGCAAACGUUGCUCGGAAUCAUUGGGCGUAAAGCGCACGUAGGCGGCCUCGCAAGUCUGAUGUGAAAUCCCUCGGCUCAACCGAGGACGUGCAUCGGAAACUGCGGGGCUUGAGUACUGAAGAGGAUCGCGGAAUUCCCGGUGUAGAGGUGAAAUUCGUAGAUAUCGGGAGGAACACCAGUGGCGAAGGCGGCGAUCUGGGCAGAUACUGACGCUGAGGUGCGAAAGCGUGGGGAGCAAA